CAGUCGCCACGGUAAUACGAACCGUGCGAACGUUAUUCGGAAUUACUGGGCUUAAAGCGCGUGUAGGCGGGUCGGCACGUCGGUCGCUGAAGUCCCCCGGCUCAACCGGGGAAGUGGCGCCGAUACGGCCGGCCUGGAGGGGGGUAGGGGGGCCUGGAACUUCCGGUGGAGCGGUGAAAUGCGUUGAGAUCGGAAGGAACGCCCGUGGCGAAAGCGAGGCCCUGGACCCUUUCUGACGCUGAGACGCGAAAGCCAGGGGAGCGAACGGGAUUAGAUACCCCAGUAGUCCCUGUCUCUUAUA
rnacentral:rRNA from 1 species